CAGCAGCCGCGGGAAUACGUAGGGUGCAAGCGUUAAUCGGAAUUACUGGGCGUAAAGCGUGCGCAGGCGGUUUGUUAAGACAGAUGUGAAAUCCCCGGGCUUAACCUGGGAACUGCAUUUGUGACUGGCAAGCUAGAGUCUGGCAGAGGGGGGUGGAAUUCCGCGUGUAGCAGUGAAGUGCGUAGAUAUGCGGAGGAACACCGAUGGCGAAGGCAGCCCCCUGGGCCAACACUGACGCUCAUGCACGAAAGCGUGGGGAGCAAACAGGAUUAGAGACCCCCGUAGUCCCUGUCUCUUAUAC
rnacentral:rRNA from 1 species